CUAGUUGCUAGGGACAUUACAGAUGUGGCUACUUUGUCACAUGAGUGUCAGUAGGUGGCAGAGAAGAGAGAGGCUGUGUUGAUGCUCAGUGUUCCUGACUCUAUGAACAUAUGAAUGAUUAGUAGCUUAACAUC